rnacentral:misc_RNA from 1 species
GUGAAUCAUCAAAUUUUUGAACGCAAAUUGCACUCUCUGGUAUUCCGGAGAGUAUGCCUGUUUGAGGGUCAGUAAAAAUAAAAAUCGGUGUGGUUGGGGCCGUUAGGGGUGACGCAACGGAUUAGGGUCGUAAUGACUUGGGAUAAGAGACCAAAAAUUUUGCAAGAAACAGUUCGAACGUAUAUA